CGGGGGGGGCAAGCGUUGUUCGGAUUUACUGGGCGUAAAGGGCGCGUAGGCGGCGCCGCGAGUCACUUGUGAAAUCUCCGGGCUUAACCCGGAGCGGCCAAGUGAUACUGCGGCGCUGGAGUGCGGAAGGGGCCACCGGAAUUCUCGGUGUAGCGGUGAAAUGCGUAGAUAUCGAGAGGAACACCUGCGGCGAAGGCGGGUGGCUGGGCCGACACUGACGCUGAGGCGCGAAAGCCAGGGGAGCGAACGGGAUUAGAUACCCCGGUAGUCCUGGCCUUAAACGAUGGAUGCUUGGUGUCCGGGGUGAGGAAGUCCCCGGGUGCCGGCGCUAACGCAUUAAGCAUCCCGCCUGGGGAGUACGGUCGCAAGACUG
rnacentral:rRNA from 1 species